GUAAUGCCGGAUGCUCCGACUCCUCGCAUGGGGUGUCGGGAAAGAUUUCAUCGGUAUGGGAUGGGGUCGCGUCCUAUCAGGUAGUCGGCGGGGUAACGGCCCACCGAGCCUACGACGGGUAGCCGGCCUGAGAGGGCGACCGGCCACAUUGGGACUGAGAUACGGCCCAGACUCCUACGGGAGGCAGCAGUGGGGAAUAUUGCACAAUGGGCGCAAGCCUGAUGCAGCGACGCCGCGUGCGGGAUGACGGCCUUCGGGUUGUAAACCGCUUUUGAUCGGGAGCAAGCCUUCGGGUGAGUGUACCUUUCGAAUAAGCACCGGCUAACUACGUGCCAGCAGCCGCGGUAAUACGUAGGGUGCAAGCGUUAUCCGGAAUUAUUGGGCGUAAAGGGCUCGUAGGCGGUUCGUCGCGUCCGGUGUGAAAGUCCAUCGCUUAACGGUGGAUCUGCGCCGGGUACGGGCGGGCUGGAGUGCGGUAGGGGAGACUGGAAUUCCCGGUGUAACGGUGGAAUGUGUAGAUAUCGGAAAA
rnacentral:rRNA from 1 species